rnacentral:rRNA from 1 species
CCUACGGGAGGCAGCAGUGAGGAAUAUUGGUCAAUGGACGCAAGUCUGAACCAGCCAUGCCGCGUGCAGGAAGACGGCUCUAUGAGUUGUAAACUGCUUUUGUACGAGGGUAAACGCAGAUACGCGUAUCUGUCUGAAAGUAUCGUACGAAUAAGGAUCGGCUAACUCCGUGCCAGCAGCCGCGGUAAUACGGAGGAUUCAAGCGUUAUCCGGAUUUAUUGGGUUUAAAGGGUGAGUAGGCGGUCGGAUAAGUUAGAGGUGAAAUCCCGAGGCUCAACUUCGGAAUUGCCUCUGAUACUGUUCGGCGAGAGAGUAGUUGCGGUAGGCGGAAUGUAUGGGGUAGCGGUGAAAUGCUUAGAGAUCAUACAGAACACCGAUUGCGAAGGCAGCUUACCAAGCUACUUCUGACGUUGAGGCACGAAAGCGUGGGGAGCAAACAGGAUUAGAUACCCGGGUAGUC